rnacentral:rRNA from 1 species
AACCCUUACCGAACUCCAGCCUCAUUCCCAAAGAAGCCGC